CCUACGGGGUGCUGCAGUGAGGAAUAUUGGUCAAUGGACGAGAGUCUGAACCAGCCAAGUAGCGUGAAGGAUGACUGCCCUAUGGGUUGUAAACUUCUUUUAUAUGGGAAUAAAAUGUUCCACGUGUGGAAUUUUGUAUGUACCAUAUGAAUAAGGAUCGGCUAACUCCGUGCCAGCAGCCGCGGUAAUACGGAGGAUCCGAGCGUUAUCCGGAUUUAUUGGGUUUAAAGGGAGCGUAGGUGGAUUGUUAAGUCAGUUGUAAAAGUUUGCGGCUCAACCGUAAAAUUGCAGUUGAAACUGGCAGUCUUGAGUACAGUAGAGGUGGGCGGAAUUCGUGGUGUAGCGGUGAAAUGCUUAGAUAUCACGAAGAACUCCGAUUGUGAAGGCAGCUCACUGGACUGCAACUGACACUGAGGCUCGAAAGUGUGGGUAUCAAACAGGAUUAGAUACCCGAGUAGUC
rnacentral:rRNA from 1 species